AACGAACGCUGGCGGCAUGCCUAACACAUGCGAGUCGAACGAGACCUUCGGGUCUAGCGGCGCACGGGUGCGUAACGCGUGGGAACCUGCCCUUAGGUUCGGAAUAACUCCCCGAAAGGGGUGCCAAUACCGGAUAAUGUCUUCGGACCAAAGGUUUAUCGCCUUUGGAUGGGCCCGCGUUGGAUUAGCUAGUUGGUAGGGUAAAAGCCUCCCAAGGCGACGAUCCAUAGCUGGUCAGAGAGGAUGAUCAGCCACACUGGGACUGAGACACGGCCCAGACUCCUACGGGAGGCAGCAGUGGGGAAUAUUGGACAGUGGGCGGAAGCCUGAUCCAGCAAUGCCGGGUGAGUGAUGAAGGCCUUAGGGUUGUAAAGCUCUUUUACCCGGGAUGAUAAUGACAGUACCGGGAGAAUAAGCACCGGCUAACUCCGUG
rnacentral:rRNA from 1 species